rnacentral:rRNA from 1 species
UGCGUAGCCUACACAUGCAAGUCGAGCGGAAACGAUAGGAGCUUGCUCCAGGCGUCGAGCGGCGGACGGGUGAGUAAUGCAUAGGAAUCUGCCCGGUAGUGGGGGAUAACCUGGGGAAACCCAGGCUAAUACCGCAUACGUCCUACGGGAGAAAGCAGGGGAUCUUCGGACCUUGCGCUAUCGGAUGAGCCUAUGUCGGAUUAGCUUGUUGGUGAGGUAAUGGCUCACCAAGGCGACGAUCCGUAGCUGGUCUGAGAGGAUGAUCAGCCACAUCGGGACUGAGACACGGCCCGAACUCCUACGGGAGGCAGCAGUGGGGAAUAUUGGACAAUGGGCGAAAGCCUGAUCCAGCCAUGCCGCGUGUGUGAAGAAGGCUUUCGGGUUGUAAAGCACUUUCAGUGAGGAAGAAGGCCUUGGGGCUAAUACCCCCGAGGAAGGACAUCACUCACAGAAGAAGCACCGGCUAACUCCGUGCCAGCAGCCGCGGUAAUACGGAGGGUGCGAGCGUUAAUCGGAAUUACUGGGCGUAAAGCGCGCGUAGGCGGCGUGAUAAGCCGGUUGUGAAAGCCCCGGGCUCAACCUGGGAACGGCAUCCGGAACUGUCAGGCUAGAGUGCAGGAGAGGAAGGUAGAAUUCCCGGUGUAGCGGUGAAAUGCGUAGAGAUCGGGAGGAAUACCAGUGGCGAAGGCGGCCUUCUGGACUGACACUGACGCUGAGGUGCGAAAGCGUGGGUAGCAAACAGGAUUAGAUACCCUGGUAGUCCACGCCGUAAACGAUGUCGACUAGCCGUUGGGGUCCUAGAGACCUUUGUGGCGCAGUUAACGCGAUAAGUCGACCGCCUGGGGAGUACGGCCGCAAGGUUAAAACUCAAAUGAAUUGACGGGGGCCCGCACAAGCGGUGGAGCAUGUGGUUUAAUUCGAUGCAACGCGAAGAACCUUACCUACCCUUGACAUCGUGCGAACUUUCCAGAGAUGGAUUGGUGCCUUCGGGAACGCACAGACAGGUGCUGCAUGGCUGUCGUCAGCUCGUGUUGUGAAAUGUUGGGUUAAGUCCCGUAACGAGCGCAACCCUUGUCCCUAUUUGCCAGCGAUUCGGUCGGGAACUCUAGGGAGACUGCCGGUGACAAACCGGAGGAAGGUGGGGACGACGUCAAGUCAUCAUGGCCCUUACGGGUAGGGCUACACACGUGCUACAAUGGCCGGUACAAAGGGUUGCAAAGCCGCGAGGUGGAGCUAAUCCCGAAAAGCCGGUCUCAGUCCGGAUCGGAGUCUGCAACUCGACUCCGUGAAGUCGGAAUCGCUAGUAAUCGUGAAUCAGAAUGUCACGGUGAAUACGUUCCCGGGCCUUGUACACACCGCCCGUCACACCAUGGGAGUGGACUGCACCAGAAGUGGUUAGCCUAACUUCGGAGGGCGAUCACCACGGAUGUAUU